AGAGUUUGAUCCUGGCUCAGGAUAAACGCUGGCGGUGUGCUUUAUGCAUGCAAGUCGAACGCCCCGACUUCGGUCGGGGAGUGGCGGACGGGUGAGUAACACGUAAGUAACCUGCCCUUAAGUGGGGAAUAACUCUGAGAAAUCGGAGCUAAUACCGCAUGUGGUGAUGGCGGUAAAGCGCCAUCACUAAAGCCUUCGGGCGCUUGAGGAGGGGCUUGCGUACGAUUAGCUAGUUGGUGAGGUAACGGCCUACCAAGGCGACGAUCGUUAGUUGGUUUGAGAGGACGAUCAGCCACACUGGGACUGAGACACGGCCCAGACUCCUACGGGAGGCAGCAGCAAGGAAUAUUGGACAAUGGGCGAAAGCCUGAUCCAGCGACACCGCGUGGGGGAAGAAGGCCUUCGGGUUGUAAACCCCUUUUCCCGGGGAAGAAUAAUGACGGUACCCGGGGAAUAAGCCCCGGCUAACUACGUGCCAGCAGCCGCGGUAAUACGUAGGGGGCGAGCGUUAUCCGGAUUUACUGGGCGUAAAGCGGGCGUAGGCGGCCUUUCAAGUCGGAUGUGAAAUCUCCCGGCUUAACUGGGAGGGUGCAUUCGAUACUGAUGGGCUAGAGUGCAGCAGAGGGAAGUGGAAUUCCCGGUGUAGUGGUGAAAUGCGUAGAUAUCGGGAGGAACACUAGUGGCGAAGGCGGCUUCCUGGGCUGUAACUGACGCUGAGGUCCGAAGGCGUGGGUAGCAAACAGGAUUAGAUACCCUGGUAGUCCACGCAGUAAACGAUGGAUACUAGGUAUGGGGGGUAUCGACCUCCUCCGUGCCGAAGCUAACGCUUUAAGUAUCCCGCCUGGGGACUACGGUCGCAAGACUAAAACUCAAAGGAAUUGACGGGUGCCCGCACAAGCAGCGGAGCGUGUGGUUUAAUUCGAUGCAACGCGAAGAACCUUACCAGGGCUUGACAUGUUGGUAGUAGCGGAGCCGAAAGUUUAGCGACCUGUUAAGUCAGACCAUCACAGGUGCUGCAUGCUGUCGUCAGCUCGGUGCGUGAGGUGUCGGGUAAGUCCCAUACGAGCGCACCCCUGUCGCAGUAUUCCUCUGGCGAGACUGCCCGCAACCGGGAGGAGGAGGGAUGAUGUCAGGUCAGUUGCUUAUGCUGGCUACCACACCGCUCAUGGGUGUAAUGGCUUGCAUGGACGAUCCGGAACCUAAUCUUUAAAA
rnacentral:rRNA from 1 species